rnacentral:rRNA from 1 species
UGGGGAAUAUUGCACAAUGGGGGAAACCCUGAUGCAGCGACGCCGCGUGAGUGAAGAAGUAUUUCGGUAUGUAAAGCUCUAUCGGCAGGGAAGAAGAAAGACGGUACCUGACUAAGAAGCCCCGGCUAACUACGUGCC